AUCCUGGCUCAGGAUGAACGCUGGCGGCGUGCCUAACACAUGCAAGUCGAGCGAAGCACUUUGUUAGAACUUUUCGGAGGGAUGAGGAAGUGACUGAGCGGCGGACGGGUGAGUAACGCGUGGGCAACCUGCCUUACACAGGGGGAUAACAGUUAGAAAUGACUGCUAAUACCGCAUAAGACCACAUUGCCGCAUGGCAGGGUGGUAAAAACUCCGGUGGUGUAAGAUGGGCCCGCGUCUGAUUAGGUAGUUGGCAGGGUAGAGGCCUACCAAGCCUACGAUCAGUAGCCGGCCUGAGAGGGUGGACGGCCACAUUGGGACUGAGACACGGCCCAAACUCCUACGGGAGGCAGCAGUGGGGAAUAUUGCACAAUGGGGGAAACCCUGAUGCAGCGACGCCGCGUGAGUGAGGAAGUAUUUCGGUAUGUAAAGCUCUAUCAGCAGGGAAGAAAAUGACGGUACCUGACUAAGAAGCCCCGGCUAACUACGUGCCAGCAGCCGCGGUAAUACGUAG
rnacentral:rRNA from 1 species